GAUGAACGCUAGCGGCAGGCUUAAUACAUGCAAGUCGAGGGGCAGCAUGGCUGUAGCAAUACAGCUGAUGGCGACCGGCAAAAGGGUGCGGAACACGUACAGAACCUUCCUCGGAGCGGGGGAUAGCCCAGAGAAAUUUGGAUUAAUACCCCAUAGUAUAACGAAGUGGCAUCGCUUUGUUAUUAAAGAUUUAUCCCUUUGAGAUGGCUGUCCGUCUGAUUAGGUAGUUGGUGAGGUAACGGCUCACCAAGCCGACGAUAAGUAACUGGUGUGAGAGCACGACCAGUCACACGGGCACUGAGACACGGGCCCGACUCCUACGGGAGGCAGCAGUAAGGAAUAUUGGUCAAUGGACGCAAGUCUGAACCAGCCAUGCCGCGUGGAGGAUGAAGGUCCUCUGGAUUGUAAACUUCUUUUAUCUGGGACGAAAAAAGGGAAUUCUUUCUCGUCUGACGGUACCAGAUGAAUAAGCACCGGCUAACUCCGUGCCAGCCGCCGCGGUAAUAC
rnacentral:rRNA from 1 species